AUUGAGCCAAGAAGAAACUUGUAUUGCACAAAGAGAGAUUACAGUGCUUGUUGGAUACAAAUGCUUAAUGCCAUCCCAUAUUUAUAGGGGAGGCUUCACCUAACUUUACCUAACUUCACCUAACUUCACCUAACUUUGCCAAACUUGGUCAAACUCAUGUGCUGGAAUUGUAUAAAGUAUUCUAGAAUAUUUACAUGUUCACAUGUGCUAGAGUUGCCUAGAACCUUCCGGAAUUGGGCCAAGCUAGCACUCUUGGCCUUGUGUUGGCUCUCUAGCCCGAAAUUGUGGGCAAUUGGGCUAGCGAAUUGGGCGGUCCGCAACA
rnacentral:lncRNA from 1 species